GACGAACCGUGCGAACGUUAUUCGGAAUCACUGGGCUUAAAGGGCGCGUAGGCGGGCUGACAAGUCUGGGGUGAAAUACCACGGCUCAACCGUGGAACUGCCUUAGAUACUGUCGGCCUCGAGGGAGGUAGGGGCGUGCGGAACUGUAGGUGGAGCGGUGAAAAUGCGUUGAUAUCUACAGGAACUCCGGUGGCGAAAGCGGCGCGCUGGACCUCUUCUGACGCUGAGGCGCGAAAGCUAGGGGAGCAAACGGG
rnacentral:rRNA from 1 species